CUUUCCUUCAAGUCACUGCAUAAAUACAACAGUUCAUUUGUUUGCUUUUUUAAUAACUGAAGUUUACAACAUGAGUGGGGUUUUCCUAGGGGAAUACAGUAACUUUUUUCACUUGGUUGCUCAGCUUUUUUAUUAAAGCAGUGAUUGCCAAGACAAUCUCUUUAACAAAAUCUUUUAAAUAUGUUUGUAAAACAGUAAUCAGCACUUUGGCAUCUGAGAUCUUUUCAGUGGUCCCCGGUUUAUUGCCAGUGGUGUCUGCAGAGAUGCUGGAGGGCAGUGAGAGCCCAUGGGAGUGAAGUGGGAUUUAAACAUUUGCUGUUGGAGUUCUGAAUGUUACCUUGUGCUGUUAUCACCCACAGGUUUUUGCAGAGGUGCUGGGUGCCUUCCCCACACCCAGACUGUGCAGAGCUGGGAGAUGCUCAAAUUCAGUGUUCAGCUGAAGGGAGGUGGGUCAUAGCGCCGGUGCUGUGCCAGAGGACCAAGGCUCUCCUGCCUCUCCCUCCCAUCUUGAAGCAUAGCUGAGAUAUUCAAAAUCCCCCUGAAAAUUAAAUGCUUGGACUGGAAGCAGAUGAUCAUUAAAACCCUUCCCAACCCAAACCUUUCUAUGAUUGCAUUCUGUGAGUUUAUGGCCCGUGGACAUGGAGUGAUUCUUCUUCAGUAUUAAUGACGUGUACAUCAACAGGAUGGUUUUUGCAACCAAGGGUGUCAGGGACAAGAAGGAAUUUGUGUGGUAAUAUGAAGUAUAAAUUAUAUUUCUUCUGCAAAUCUUUUUCUGGAAUUAUUGCAGAGUUCAUGAUGUAUUGUCAUUUAUUGAAGUGAUGGACAGUUAUAUUCUCUGUCCUUAACCUGGCCUGGAGUAAAGAUGCAAAUGUUACCUUUAUUUUUCUCAGAGUGAGAACUACGAGUAACUAGAGAUGAAUAUGGACGUUUUGCUCUGCCUGAGCAGAAAAGCCAGCUGAGAUCCCCUGAAAGGGCUAUAUUAUUGGUACUACAUUCUGAACAAUUACAUCUAUUUUUGCUCUUGACAAUUGCUCUUACAAUGCCCAGAUUAUUGGCUCAGUGAAAUAAAAAGAAGUUUCACAAGAUGCUUUCA
rnacentral:lncRNA from 1 species